rnacentral:rRNA from 1 species
AGUGUAGGCGGUCAAGCAAGUCAGGGGUGAAAGGCGUCGGCUCAACCGAUGUAAGCCUUUGAAACUGUUUGACUUGAGUGCAGGAGAGGUAAGUGGAAUUCCUAGUGUAGCGGUGAAAUGCGUAGAUAUUAGGAGGAACACCAGUGGCGAAGGCGACUUACUGGACUGUAACUGACGCUGAGGCUCGAAAGCGUGGGGAGCGAACA